UGACAAGUCGAGCAGAGACGAAAGUCGGCCAUAGUGAUCCGGUGGUCCCAAGUGGGAGGGCCAUCGCUCAACGGAUAAAAGGUACUCUGGGGAUAACAGGCUGAUGAUGCCCAAGAGUCCAUAUCGACGGCAUCGUUUGGCACCUCGAUGUCGGCUCAUCUCAUCCUGGGGCUGGAGCAGGUCCCAAGGGUAUGGCUGUUCGCCAUUUAAAGAGGUACGUGAGCUGGGUUUAGAACGUCGUGAGACAGUUCGGUCCCUAUCUGCCGUGGGUGUAGGAGACUUGAGAAGAGUUGCCCCUAGUACGAGAGGACCGGGGUGAACGAACCACUGGUGGACCAGUUAUCGUGCCAACGGUAGUGCUGGGUAGCUAUGUUCGGACAGGAUAACCGCUGAAGGCAUCUAAGCGGGAAGCCCCCUUCAAAACAAGGUCUCCCUUGAGAGCCGUGGAAGACCACCACGUCGAUAGGCCGGAGGUGUAAGUGCAGCAAUGCAUUCAGCUGACCGGUACUAAUUGCUCGAUAGGCUUGAUUUGAUCCAG
rnacentral:rRNA from 1 species